AUCAAUAUCAAGAUAUAUAAUGAUCCCCUCAUUCCAGAAUAGUCUCUUGUGUUCUUUCCAGCCAAUGCCCCACCCCUGGAUUCUGGCAACAAUUGAUCUGCUUUUUAUUACCAUGGAUUAUAUUUGUCUUUCCUAGAGAUACAAAUAAAUGAAAUAAUGUAGUGUGUCCUCUUUAACUUUGGCUUAUUUCUCUCGGCACACUAUUUCUGAAAUUUGUCCAUACUGUUGAUAUGGCAGACAGAAUUUUAAGAUGGUUCCUAAAAUUCUUGCCUCCUGGUAUGUAUAAUUUUCUCUCGGUUUUCCGCUGAACACUAACCUAGGUGCUAUUGUAAAGGGAUUUCUCAAGUGUAAUUAAAGUCCCUAAUAAGUUUAUUUUAAGUUAGAAAAAUUUUCCCAGGUGAGCUUGAGCUAAGUGAGUGACCUAAGCAGGUGAGUUGUUAGAAAAAAAUUAAGAGAUAUUUGAAGCGUAGACAAAAUUCUGUUGGCUUUUAAAAGAAAACUUCCAUGUGAUAGAGAAAGCCAGAUGAUAGGGAACACAAGGUUACCUCUAAAUUGACAACCAGCAAAAAAGCUGAGACUUCAGUCUUAUCAUCAUAAGGAAUUGAAUUCUGUCAACAGCCACGUGACCUUAGAGGAGGCCCCUGAGCCGCAGAUGAGAUCAUGGCCCUGGCCAAUACCUUAAAUUCAUCCUGGUGAGAUAUGAGCAGAGAACUCAGCUAUGCCAUGCUCAGAUUUCUCACCUGUAGAGCAGUAAAUUAAUAAGUGAGCAUUAUUUGAAGCUGCUAAGUUUGUGGUGAUUUGUUACACAUCAAGAGAAAACAUAUGCUGUAUAUAUUAUUAGAUUUUUCCUUUAUAUUGGUGGGUGUAUUUGUUAUCUAUUACUUCCUAACAAAUCGACAAUAAUUAAGUGUCUUAAGACAACACAUAUUUAUUACCUCAUAGUUUCUGUGGGUCAGAAAUCUGGGCAUGGUUUAUGUGAGUUCUUUGAUUUAAAGUUGUUGGCAAAUCUGUAAACAAGGAAGCAGUCAGGACCGAGGUCUCAUCUGAAAGUCAACUUGGGAUGGGUCUGCUUCCAGCCUCACUUAACAUAACAGCUGGCAGGAUUCAGUUGCUCUUGGGUAGUUGGAUUGAUGGCCUCAGAUAACUAGGUAGCUAUUAGCUAGAUUUCACCCUCAGUUUGUUGCCGUGUGGGCCUCCCUAAGGUGGCAAUUUACUUCAUCAAAACCAGCAAGGGAGAGAGUUGGCUACAAUCUCUAGUAAUGUAGCUACAGAAAUGACAUCCCCUUAGCAAUGAGAUAUUUUAUUAAUUAGAAAGAAAUUACUCAACAGGAGGGGAUUACACAAUGUAGUGAAUACCAGGAGGCUGAGAUCAGAAGGAGCUAGUGUAGAAGCUGCCUACCACAGUGAGUAGUAUUCUAUUACAUGAAUAUACCAGAAUGUCUGAAUCCACCCAACUGGGCAUAGACGUUUGUGUUCAUUCAAGAUACAGACUAUUAUUAUUUUAAAAAUAAAAGUUACUAUGAACAUUUAAGUAUAA
rnacentral:lncRNA from 10 species